rnacentral:rRNA from 1 species
AUUGAACGCUGGCGGCAGGCCUAACACAUGCAAGUCGAACGAGUGGCGGACGGUUGAGGAAUGUCUGGGAAAAUGCCUGAUGGAGGGGGGUAACUACUGGAAACGGUAGCUAAUGCCGCAUACCAUAGGAUGUGCCCAGAGGGGAUUAGCUAGUGGGUGGGGUAAAGGCUCACCUAGGCGACGAUCCCUAGCUGGUAUGAGAGGAUAACCAGCCACACUGCAGCUUAGACACGGUCCAGACUCCUACGGGAGGCAGCAGUGGUGCAUAUUGCACAAUGGGCGCAAGCCUGAUGCAGCCAUGCCGCGUGGAUGAAGAAGGCCUUCGGGUUGUAAAGUACUUUCAGCGGGGAGGCGUUACCCGCAGAAGAAGCACCGGCUAACUCCGUGCCAGCAGCCGCGGUAAUUC